rnacentral:rRNA from 1 species
ACAUGCAAGUCGAACGGAAAGGCCCUUCGGGGUACUCGAGUGGCGAACGGGUGAGUAACACGUGGGUGAUCUGCCCUGCACUUUGGGAUAAGCCUGGGAAACUGGGUCUAAUACCGAAUAUGACCACGCGCUUCAUGGUGUGUGGUGGAAAGCUUUUGCGGUGUGGGAUGGGCCCGCGGCCUAUCAGCUUGUUGGUGGGGUAAUGGCCUACCAAGGCGACGACGGGUAGCCGGCCUGAGAGGGUGACCGGCCACACUGGGACUGAGAUACGGCCCAGACUCCUACGGGAGGCAGCAGUGGGGAAUAUUGCACAAUGGGCGCAAGCCUGAUGCAGCGACGCCGCGUGAGGGAUGACGGCCUUCGGGUUGUAAACCUCUUUCAAUAGGGACGAAGCGCAAGUGACGGUACCUAUAGAAGAAGGACCGGCCAACUACGUGCCAGCAGCCGCGGUAAUACGUAGGGUCCGAGCGUUGUCCGGAAUUACUGGCGUAAAGAGCUCGUAGGUGGUUUGUCGCGUUGUUCGUGAAACUCACA